UACGUAGGUGGCAAGCGUUGUCCGGAUUUAUUGGGUUUAAAGGGUGCGUAGGCGGUCUAUUAAGUCAGUUGUGAAAUACGGCAGCUCAACUGUCGAGGUGCAAUUGAUACUGAUGGACUUGAGUACUGAUGAGGUAAGCGGAAUGGACGGUGUAGCGGUGAAAUGCUUAGAUAUGACACAGAACACCGAUUGCGAAGGCAGCUCACUAAACUGUAACUGACGCUGAGGCACGAAAGCGUGGGGAGCAAACAGG
rnacentral:rRNA from 1 species